CAGGCUUAACACAUGCAAGUCGAGGGGCGGCAUGGUCUUAGCUUGCUAAGGCCGAUGGCGACCGGCGCACGGGUGAGUAACACGUAUCCAACCUGCCGUCUACUCUUGGACAGCCUUCUGAAAGGAAGAUUAAUACAAGAUGGCAUCAUGAGUCCGCAUGUUCACAUGAUUAAAGGUAUUCCGGUAGACGAUGGGGAUGCGUUCCAUUAGAUAGUAGGCGGGGUAACGGCCCACCUAGUCUUCGAUGGAUAGGGGUUCUGAGAGGAAGGUCCCCCACAUUGGAACUGAGACACGGUCCAAACUCCUACGGGAGGCAGCAGUGAGGAAUAUUGGUCAAUGGGCGAGAGCCUGAACCAGCCAAGUAGCGUGAAGGAUGACUGCCCUAUGGGUUGUAAACUUCUUUUAUAAAGGAAUAAAGUCGGGUAUGGAUACCCGUUUGCAUGUACUUUAUGAAUAAGGAUCGGCUAACUCCGUGCCAGCAGCCGCGGUAAUACGGAGGAUCCGAGCGUUAUCCGGAUUUAUUGGGUUUAAAGGGAGCGUAGAUGGAUGUUUAAGUCAGUUGUGAAAGUUUGCGGCUCAACCGUAAAAUUGCAGUUGAUACUGGAUAUCUUGAGUGCAGUUGAGGCAGGCGGAAUUCGUGGUGUAGCGGUGAAAUGCUUAGAUAUCACGAAGAACUCCGAUUGCGAAGGCAGCCUGCUAAGCUGCAACUGACAUUGAGGCUCGAAAGUGUGGGUAUCAAACAGGAUUAGAUACCCUGGUAGUCCACACGGUAAACGAUGAAUACUCGCUGUUUGCGAUAUACAGCAAGCGGCCAAGCGAAAGCGUUAAGUAUUCCACCUGGGGAGUACGCCGGCAACGGUGAAACUCAAAGGAAUUGACGGGGGCCCGCACAAGCGGAGGAACAUGUGGUUUAAUUCGAUGAUACGCGAGGAACCUUACCCGGGCUUAAAUUGCAGAUGAAUUACGGUGAAAGCCGUAAGCCGCAAGGCAUCUGUGAAGGUGCUGCAUGGUUGUCGUCAGCUCGUGCCGUGAGGUGUCGGCUUAAGUGCCAUAACGAGCGCAACCCUUGUUGUCAGUUACUAACAGGUUCCGCUGAGGACUCUGACAAGACUGCCAUCGUAAGAUGUGAGGAAGGUGGGGAUGACGUCAAAUCAGCACGGCCCUUACGUCCGGGGCUACACACGUGUUACAAUGGGGGGUACAGAGGGCCGCUACCACGCGAGUGGAUGCCAAUCCCCAAAACCUCUCUCAGUUCGGACUGGAGUCUGCAACCCGACUCCACGAAGCUGGAUUCGCUAGUAAUCGCGCAUCAGCCACGGCGCGGUGAAUGCGUUCCCGGGCCUUGUACACACCGCCCGUCAAGCCAUGGGAGCCGGGGGUACCUGAAGUGCGUAACCGCGAGGAGCGCCCUAGGGUAAAACUAGUGACUGGGGCUAAGUCAUAACAAG
rnacentral:rRNA from 1 species